GUGAAAUUGUUGAAAGGGAAACGAUUGAAGUCAGUCAUGCCAGUGGAAACUCAGUUUGGCGGGUCUCGAGUUCAUGAGUAAGGAGGCAGGGUAAAACCGUCUCUCUCGUGAAUUUAGGAUUUGUCAGAUGGAUUUUUUCUCUGGCAGGUCAGUGUCGGUUUCGGGGGUUGUAAAAUACUUGGGGUAAAGUAGCUCUGCUUCGGUAUAGUGUUAUAGACCCUGAGGAUGCAGCCUGUGAGAUCGAGGAUUGCAGCAAAUGCCUUCGGGCUUGUCGCCUGAUCUCUGGUUGCUAGCUCGCUUGUGACAAUAUUUCUUGUUGCCGGUGAGUACUAGUGACCACAGAUUAGAGCGGUCGAAAAUUUUGCUAAGGAUGCUGACGUAAUGGCUUUAAACGAC
rnacentral:rRNA from 1 species